UGGGGAAUUUUGGACAAUGGGGGAAACCCUGAUCCAGCCAUCCCGCGUGUGCGAUGAAGGCCUUCGGGUUGUAAAGCACUUUUGGCAGGAAAGAAACGUCAUGGGUUAAUACCCCGUGAAACUGACGGUACCUGCAGAAUAAGCACCGGCUAACUACGUGCCAGCAGCCGCGGUAAUACGUAGGGUGCAAGCGUUAAUCGGAAUUACUGGGCGUAAAGCGUGCGCAGGCGGUUCGGAAAGAAAGAUGUGAAAUCCCAGAGCUCAACUUUGGAACUGCAUUUUUAAGUCCCGGGCUAGAGUGUGUCAGAGGGAGGUGGAAUUCCGCGUGUAGCAGUGAAAUGCGUAGAUAUGCGGAGGAACACCGAUGGCGAAGGCAGCCUCCUGGGAUAACUCUGACGCUCAUGCACGAAAGCGUGGGGAGCAAACAGG
rnacentral:rRNA from 1 species